UGCAUCAUAGUGCUUCCGAUACAAGUGACAAAAACCGAGUUAAAAGCAGAUUAAAGAAGUUUAUUACCCGAAGACCUUCUUUGAAAACUCUGCAAGAAAAAGGACUUAUUAAAGAUCAAAUUUUUGGCUCUCAUCUGCACACAGUGUGUGAACGUGAAAAUUCCACAGUUCCGCGGUUCGUAAAGCAAUGCAUUGAAGCUGUCGAAAAAAGAGGUCUAGAUGUUGAUGGAAUAUAUCGAGUUAGUGGCAACUUGGCAACAAUACAGAAACUACGAUUUAUUGUCA